CAAUAGCGUAUAUUAAAGUUGUUGCAGUUAAAAAGCUCGUAGUUGGAUUUGUGGCGUACGGUGUGUUCCGGGCACUUGUUGUCUGAGUAACCUGCUGUUGCCAUCCUUGGGUGGAACCUGUGUGGCAUUAGGUUGUCGUGCAGGGGAUGCCCAUCAUUUACUGUGAAAAAAUUAGAGUGUUCAAAGCAGGCUUAUGCCGUUGAAUAUAUUAGCAUGGAAUAAUGAGAUAGGACUUCUUUGCUAUUUUGUUGGUUUGCGCAAGAAGGUAAUGAUUAAUAGGGACAGUUGGGGGUAUUCGUAUUCCAUUGUCAGAGGUGAAAUUCUUGGAUUUUUGGAGGACGAACUACUGCGAAAGCAUUUACCAAGGAUGUUUUCAUUAA
rnacentral:rRNA from 1 species